AGUCUACUCACCAUCAGUUUUCACUGAAAUCACAAACUGGAUGCUUAGAUUUCCUUGCAGUCAGGAGUCCAUGUAAAAUAUUAUAUGUAAUAAUAUCCUUUAUUAAAUUCCUUAUGCUUUGGCGUUCCCAUCGUGGCUCAGUGGAAACAAACCUGAUUAAUAUCCAUGAGGAUUCAGGUUCCAUCCCUGACCCCACUCAGUGGAUUAAGGAUCUUGCAUUGCCGUGAGCUGUGGUGUAGGUUACAGACAAGACUUAGAUCCUGCAUUGCUAUGGCUGUGGCUGGCAGCUGCAGCUCCAAUUUAACCCCUAGCCUGGGAACUUCUAUAUGCCUGCAGUGUGGCCCUAAAAAAACAAGAAGAAAGAAAAAGAAAAAAAGGACCGAAAGGGUUAAGUGAUCUGCCGAAACCAAACAACAGUUAAUAAACAUUAGUACAGGGACUUGAUCCUCAUUUGUCUGAUUCCAGCCAAGCUUUGAGCACCUUCAAAAGGCCAAACUACAGAUGGGUACAUAUAUGUUCAGCCAUUACAACAACCAGAUAAAGUAGAUAGUCUGUUAAAGAUGAGGAAAUGAGGAGUAGGGAGGUGAGGUGAUUGUGCUGAGGUCACACGUCUUAGAGUGGUCAGAUCAGAAUAUGAAUCAAGGCCUCUGUCUCUAAACCCGAGGCAUUUUUCUCUUUCUAUCCCCUCCCCCUUCCCUCUUUGAUGUAUCAUAGCCUCUUCUCUGCCUGCACAAUGAUCAUGGUAUUAUUCUAGUUGCCUGCUCCUUUCAGGUAAAGUGAUAAUUAGCAAAGAUUCCUAGGGGAAAGGUGUCAAGUACAUACACUUUGAAAACCCAUGCUGGAUUUUUCUCAUCAUUGAGUCCAUUACCUUGUUGAAUCUAAUUUGGUACUUGUAGAAACAGUAUGAGUUCUGUGAGUAGUGUUCAGUAAGCUUCAGUGAACUAAACGGCAUUCCGGUGGCCUAAGAAAACUCAUACUGCUCCUAAACAUGUAUGAAUAAUGGUUGCCACCUGCAAGUAGCUUAGGCGGUAGGGGAUUACACUUCAAUUCUGAAGGGCUUGGACUGGAUGGGUAUGUUCUGAUUUCCUUCUUCCCCCAAGAUUUUUUUUUGGAUGUAUAAUGGAUAAAUAAAAUAUAAGAUAUUUAAGGACUUCCCUUUGUGACUCAGUGGUUUAUGUGCUUGACUAGUAACCACAAGGAUGCAGGUUCCAUCCCUGGCCUCGCUCAGUGGGUUAAGGAUACGGCAUUGCCAUGAGCUGUGGUGUAGGUUACCGAUGAGGCUCAGAUCCCACUUUGCUGUGGCUGUGGCGUAGGCUGGCGGCUGAGGCUCCAAUUCGAACCCUAGGCUGGGAAUCUCCAUAUG
rnacentral:lncRNA from 1 species